UUGUUGAUAGAGAAAAGAAAAAAGAAAAAAAAACAGAACCAGACAGAGAGGGUCGAGGGAGAGGAGAAGAAGGAAAAGAAGGGAAGCCGAUGGAGAAAGGAAAGAAGAGGAAACAGUGGGUAACCAAGAGGAAUAAGGAAAAUUGGAGAAGAAGGCAAGCUUGAGAGAGUUCAUUCAUCCACUACCACAAAUCUCUCCUCACAUCAUUAUCAUCAUCUUCAACUUCAAUUUCCAAUUUUAAGGAUAUGAAACUUUACACGGGAACUCCUCAGGUCUGUUGCCGAAGUUCAUGCUCUACAUCAAAUAGGUAUUUUCUAUAAAGGUUAUGAUUAUGCAACUAGCAAAAUUUAUAGGGUUCUACAUUCUGUGAAAACAUAUUUGUCAUCUACAUGUCUACUACUCAUAUUGCCGUAACAAAAAUAGGCUUGACAACAAAUAUGUUAAUUUCAUAUUUGGUUUAUUCUUUCCUAUAUUUUAGCUUUUAUGAUGUAUCAUUUUUUAAAACGGUUUUUGAAGAAUUAGCAAUUGAUAGCAGAAUUGAGGUUCUUAAAUGUCUAAUAUUUUCCAGAAAUUUAACCAAUUGCUCGCCUUAAAAAAAAAUCCCAGUAUUAUCUCCAACACAUGGCCAAUAAAGAAAGUCUUUCUAUGCUAUUACCUUUCUAUGUCUCCCUUGUGUGAAUUCAAUUAUGUCCUUUGAUUUGGUGGAUUUCAUUUCUUGGUUUGUGACUAUGGUUUCUAUAGUUAUCUUUUUUUGGUAGGUAUUUCUUUUUCAGAAUUUGAGGGAGGGGAGUGGAACCUCAAAUCAUGUGCAAAAUGAGAAGGAGAAAUUUGAAGAGGUUGUGAGACUGCCAAUUCGCAAAAUUAGACAACGAAGAAUGAAAAUUGCUGAACUAGAACAAGUUAGCUCAAGACCUGAUGUUGUUGAGAAAAAGGAUUACUGAAAGUUUGGGUCAAAGCUAUAUUUUGGAGAGUUGAGUAGAGAAAUUGAAGUUUUGCAGAAGGCAGAAACUAUGAGCUGGAGAUAAGCUUAAUCUGAUUCAGAAGGUUAUAGUAAGUUCUCUAUUAAACUUGAAUUUGAUUAGAUAGAGAAGGAUUUGUUAGUUGGUUAUGGUGUAAUUUUAAGAAAUGUUGGUUAAAAUUUGUAUAGACCUACUGUCAGAAAAACGGUCAUAAAUACUUGUGCUGGCAUCAUUUUUGAGUGAAAAUUGAACCAUUGGAAAAUAGACAAAAUUUAACACGAAAUAGGCUCUGGAAGAACUUAAUUUUGUUAUUCUAUGACUGAGAAAAUUGAGUUAGAAGUUUGAACUGCCGAAGUAAAAAUCUGAACUGUUGUUGUUGGAAUGUUCUGUCAUAUCUCUCUGUUCAUGCACCAGUUUGAAAUGUGACUUAUACCAUUAGAAAGAAGACAGAAAUUAACUUGAAAUAGGCUUUGGAAUUGCUUAAUUCAAUUAUGUUAUGAUGGAGAAAACUGAGUUACAAGUUUCAGUUGUUGAAUAAAAAAUCUGCUCUAAUGUGGUUGGAAUGUUCAUGUUAAAAUAUUCGGUUCACCGCCUGGAUUGAAAUUACAAGGACUGAAGCAUAUGUCUGAAGCUAUGGUUUUAAGAGCAAGAGAGGAGAAGAGGGCUGAAGGGAUAGCAAUGGCAACAGCUUUGAAUUGGAGCAUAAUCUAUUGAGAGUGUUUAGAGUAAGUCAUGGACUUUUCAUGACUGUGAUUUUUAUGAUAUUGAAAUUGCCUUGGAGCUGAUUAUGGCGAAAUUCACAAUGUCGUUGAAGCGCAAGAAGUAACUGAAACCAAAGCAUUAUAAAGAGAGGCCACAGUUAGUAUGACCAGCUAUGCGAGUUCAGAUGCAGCUGUUCCACUUGCAACCAUGGGACAAUUUUCAAUGUAACAGUGCAGUGCCUUACACCAAGAAAAAAACCCAGGGAUCAAGAAUCAAGGGAAACAAAUCUCAUUUAAAGGCUAUGAGUGAAAAUAAUCACGAAAUUACUGUCAAGUCAGAUAGGUCUGAUUGUUCAUGUGUACAGAGUGUUGAAUCUUUGGUGAUGUGGACUCUACCUUAUGACCUGAAGAAGUUGAAACCAUGGCUGCGAGAUUAUAUGAGCGGGUUGUGUUAUGAGGGCUACUUACAUAUCCAGCACAUCAUGGAAGAAGAACAUGAGCACAUUAGUAAAAGAAUUCUCUGGCGGCCAAAAAUGGUAUCACCGAUGGAUCUAGAUGAACUAAGA